rnacentral:lncRNA from 10 species
AUUUUUAGUAGAAAUGGGGUUUCACCAUCUUGGCUAGGCUGGUCUUGAACUUCUGACCUCGUGAUCCACCCUCCUCGGCCUCCCAAAGUGCUGGGAUUACAGGCAUGAGCCACUGCGUCUGGCCUUUUAAAAAAUUUUUUUUUAGACAUGAGGUCUCAUUAUGUUGCCCAGGCUGGUCUUAAGCUCCUGGGCUUAAGCGAUCCUCCCACCUCAGCCUCCUAAAGUUCUGGGAUUACAGGCGUGAGCAACUGUAACAUGAGGUCCCAGCUUCAUGUUCAUUUUUUGUUGUUGCUACAACAAAGUACCCUACAUUUAGUAGCAUCAAACACCACAAAUCUACCAUCUUACAGUUCUGGGGGCCAGAAACCCAACUAGGUCUAUUAAGGCUAAAGUCAAGGUGUCAGAGGGGCUGCAUUCCUUCUGGGGGAGGCUCUAGACAGAAUGUGCUCCUUUGCCUUUUCCAGCUUCUAGAAGCCACCCCCAUUCCUUGACUUACCUCGUGACUCCAUAUUCAAGGCCAGAAGUGCAGCAUCUUCAAAUCUCCCUCUCUGACCUCUUCUUCCAUUACCACAUCACUUUCUCUAAUUCUGACUCUCCUACCUCUUUCUCUUAUAAAGAUCCUUGUGAUUGGUGGGUAUGGGGGCUCCCAUCUGUAAUCUCAACAUUUUGGGAGGCCAAAGAGGAAGGAUUGCUUGAGGCCAAGAGUUAGAGAUCAGCCUGGGGAAAAUAGGAAGACCCUGCCUUUACAAAAUUAAAAUUAAAAUCAGCUGGACAUGGUGAUGCAUGCCUGUAGUUCCAGCUACUGGAGAGGCUAAGGUGGGAGGAUUGCUUUAGCCUAGGACGUCAAGGCUGCAGUGAGCUAUGAUCACAUCACUGCACUCCAGCCUCAGUGGCAGAGUGAGACUCUGUCUCCAAUAUAAGAAAAGAAAUAUACAUUUGGUCUCUGCCCCUGGUUCCAGGCAUAGAGCUUCCAAAGCUCUUAUAAAGCCCUUCGUGACAGAGGUAAUAGGAGCAUUUUCUGUUUUGAUAUUUAGUCUUAGUCCCAGGUUCCUGACACAAGGGCCUCUAAGGUCUUUCAGAUCUGCAGCAUGGUAAGAAUGCAUGUGGGAUGCUGUUGAGCUAACAGGGUGGCUGCAAGCUCCUAGACUGCUUCAGGAGGAGGGCUAGCUGCCAGAGAAAGCAACCACAUUUUUUUUUUAAAACGGAGUUUGGCUCUUGUAGCCCAGACUGCGUCUCAAAAAAGAAAAAAGAAUGGGUGACAAAGUAAUAAUAUGAGGUCUUUCAUUUAUCACACAGAAAAUAACUUGUUAAAUUAUAAUACCUGUGUGGGCGAAGGUGCAGUGAAAUGGCCAUUUUCUUGUAGUAUUAGUGGUGUUUAAAAUGUAUAUAAGCCUUCCAGCAUAAAGCUUGGAAAUUUUUUUUAAAUCAUACAGACAGUGACUCAUUAUACUGCCUCCUCCAACUCCUGGCCUCAAGCAAUCCUCCCACCUCAGCCUCCCAAAGUGCUGGAAUUAC